rnacentral:lncRNA from 1 species
UUAUCUACAUUAAGUUUUCAAGAACUAAUGGCUUCUUUGGAGACACAUGAGCUACGAAUGAGCAGGUUUUCAACUCAAGAGGUGGAACAAGCUUUCAAUCUAAAGUGCCAAUUUCAAAUAAAAGAGGAGGAGAUACCGAUAAAGAAGGAAGGAAAAAUUUCCAACAAAAGAGCAAUUAUGGGAGCAGAAAUUUCAAGCAANNNN